CCUACGGGUGGCUGCAGUGGGGAAUAUUGGACAAUGGGCGAAAGCCUGAUCCAGCCAUGCCGCGUGUGUGAAGAAGGCCUUCGGGUUGUAAAGCACUUUCAGUGGGGAAGAAAGCCUUGGGGCUAAUACCCUCGAGGAAGGACAUCACCCACAGAAGAAGCACCGGCUAACUCCGUGCCAGCAGCCGCGGUAAUACGGAGGGUGCGAGCGUUAAUCGGAAUUACUGGGCGUAAGCGCGCGUAGGCGGUCUGAUAAGCCGGUUGUGAAAGCCCCGGGCUCAACCUGGGAACGGCAUCCGGAACUGUCAGGCUAGAGUGCAGGAGAGGAAGGUAGAAUUCCCGGUGUAGCGGUGAAAUGCGUAGAGAUCGGGAGGAAUACCAGUGGCGAAGGCGGCCUUCUGGACUGACACUGACGCUGAGGUGCGAAAGCGUGGGUAGCAAACAGGAUUAGAUACCCCGGUAGUC
rnacentral:rRNA from 1 species